rnacentral:rRNA from 1 species
AUUGAACGCUGGCGGCAUGCCUUACACAUGCAAGUCGAACGGCAGCACGGGUGCCUGCACCUGGUGGCGAGUGGCGAACGGGUGAGUAAUACAUCGGAACAUGUCCUGUAGUGGGGGAUAGCCCGGCGAAAGCCGGAUUAAUACCGCAUACGAUCUACGGAUGAAGGCGGGGGACCUCGGGCCUCGCGCUAUAGGGUUGGCCGAUAGCUGAUUAGCUAGUUGGUGGGGUAAAGGCCUACCAAGGCGACGAUCAGUAGCUGGUCUGAGAGGACGACCAGCCACACUGGGACUGAGACACGGCCCAGACUCCUACGGGAGGCAGCAGUGGGGAAUUUUGGACAAUGGGCGAAAGCCUGAUCCAGCAAUGCCGCGUGUGUGAAGAAGGCCUUCGGGUUGUAAAGCACUUUUGUCCGGAAAGAAAUCCUUGGCUCUAAUACAGUCGGGGGAUGACGGUACCGGAAGAAUAAGCACCGGCUAACUACGUG